CCCUCCUUCCGCAAAGAUCUCCAGAGAUUCCUUGGCUUCGCCAACUUCUACUGGUGAUACAUCUGGGAUUUCAGCAAGGUUGCUGCCCCCCUCACUAAGCUCACGUCCAUUAACAUCCCCUACCGUUGGUCUCCUAAAGCUGCCUCCACGUUCGCCAAACUAAAGACUCUAUUUACCUCUGCCCCAGUGUUGAAACAUCCUGAUACCUCCUUGCAGUUUAUUGUCGAGGUGGACGCCUCGGACUCUGGAGCUGGAGCAGUUUUGUCUCAGAGGGAUCUGGGAACCCAGAAGCUACAUCCAUGCACCUUCUUUUCCCAUCGUCUGUCUCCAGCAGAAAAGAAUUACGACAUAGGUAAUAGAGAGUCGCUGGUUGUAGUGUGAGCACUUCAGGGGUGGAGGCACUGGCUGGAGGGAGCCCAGCAUCCAUUCCUAAUCUGGACCGACCACAAGAAUCUCUCUUACCUGCAUUCUGCUCGGCGACUCAACUCCUGUCAAGCACGCCGGGCGCUUUUCCUGAGCAGGUUUAACUUCACCCUCUCCUAUUCUUGGUUCCUGCAAUGCUAAGCCAGACGCCCUCUCCCGAGUCUUCAGCUCCUCUUCAGACCCCAGUGAGCUGGACUAGAUCCUCCCUCCUGCCUGUGUCAUCGGAUCAGCCUCCUGGGACAUCAAGGCGGGCAUAGAAGAGGUGCUGAAGACCCAACUUGACCCCAAGACUGGACCCUUAACCAAGAGGUUCGUCCCGGAGGCCGCCUGAUUCCAGGUGUUACAGUGGGGACACUCGUCCAGACUCACCUGCCAUCCAGGUAUGCACAGAACACUCCUCUUUCUCCAGCAGAGACUCUGGUGGCGCGGGACUCUCUAUGUUCAGGCUUUUGUGGUGGCCUGUCCCGUUUGCUCGGGGCAAGUCAUCCCAUCAGCCCCCAGCUGGUCUGUUGUGUCCACUGCCCAUACCUUUCCGCCCUUGGUCCCAUAUUGUGCUGGAUUUUGUCACUGGUGUCCUGCGAUCUGAAGGUAACACUGUAAUACUUACCAUCAUAGACAGAUUCUCUAGGUGUGUUCACAACGUGCCAUUACCCAAGUUUC